rnacentral:rRNA from 1 species
GUCGAGAAUAAUUCACAAUGGACGAAAGUCUGAUGGUGCAACGCCGCGUGGAGGAUGACGGUCUUCGGAUUGUAAACUCCUGUCAUCCGGGAGUAAGACCUGGCUGUGAAUAGCAGACAGGGUUGAUAGUACCGGAAGAGGAAGGGACGGCUAACUUCGUGCCAGCAGCCGCGGUAAUACGAAGGUCCCGAGCGUUGUUCGGAAUCACUGGGCGUAAAGGGAGCGUAGGCGGCGUGGUAAGUCAGAUGUGAAAUCCCGGGGCUCAACCCCGGAACUGCAGCCGAUACUGCCGGGCUAGAGGAUUGGAGAGGUAGCUGGAAUUCUUGGUGUAGCAGUGAAAUGCGUGGAGAUCAAGAGGAACACUCGUGGCGAAAGCGAGCUACUGGACAAUAUCUGACGCUGAGGCUCGAAGGCCAGGGUAGCGAAAGGGAUUAGAAACCCUGGUAGUCC